rfam:Dichanthelium oligosanthes cultivar Kellogg 1175 unplaced genomic scaffold Do_version_2_scaffold983, whole genome shotgun sequence.
UUGGUUUUGCCUGAAGUUAAACUUUCUUAAGUUUGACCAAAUUUAUAUAAAAGAUUAUCAAUUUUUAUGAUACCAAAUAAACAUACUAUGAAAAUAUAUUUCAUCAUGAAUCUAAUGAUACUUAUUUGGUUUCAUAAAAAAUAGUAAUUUUUUGUAUAAAUUUGGUCAARCUUAAGAAAGUUUGACUUCAGAUAAAACCAGA